rnacentral:rRNA from 1 species
AUUGAACGCUGGCGGCAGGCUUAACACAUGCAAGCCGAGCGGAGAUGAGGUGCUUGCACCUUAUCUUAGCGGCGGACGGGUGAGUAAUGCUUAGGAAUCUGCCUAUUAGUGGGGGACAACAUUCCGAAAGGAAUGCUAAUACCGCAUACGUCCUACGGGAGAAAGCAGGGGAUCUUCGGACCUUGCGCUAAUAGAUGAGCCUAAGUCGGAUUAGCUAGUUGGUGGGGUAAAGGCCUACCAAGGCGACGAUCUGUAGCGGGUCUGAGAGGAUGAUCCGCCACACUGGGACUGAGACACGGCCCAGACUCCUACGGGAGGCAGCAGUGGGGAAUAUUGGACAAUGGGGGGAACCCUGAUCCAGCCAUGCCGCGUGUGUGAAGAAGGCCUUAUGGUUGUAAAGCACUUUAAGCGAGGAGGAGGCUACUGAGACUAAUACUCUUGGAUGGUGGACGUUACUCGCAGAAUAAGCACCGGCUAACUCUGUGCCAGCAGCCGCCGUAAUAC